GAUGGCAUGGGCCUUGGAAACUGCAUGCAAAAUGCGGAAGACGAUGUCCCUACAGCAAGCAGGUCAAUCUCCCACGAUUCAGAUGUCGUAGCACAGAACACCAUGAGAUUAGACACACCUACGACUAGUACAAUGAGAUCAGAUGCACCCGCUUUUCGCCCGACAUUCAGUGCCCCACCAUCUGAACAGUACUUAUCAACAAAGCGGGCUCCUACACGCAGGCGAGACCCCUCUCCAACGAGCGAGCCAGACAUCGCAGACUACUAUGAUCCAGAAAUGUUUCAAACCAGACGCAUGACUCGAUCAAUGUCUAUGUACUACCACCCGAAGAUUUACCCUCGGGAAUACCCUUGA
rnacentral:lncRNA from 1 species